rnacentral:rRNA from 1 species
AGAGUUUGAUCAUGGCUCAGGGUGAACGCUGGCGGCGUGGAUAAGGCAUGCAAGUCAAGGGGGCCGCAAGGCAACCGGCAGACGAGGUAGUAACACGUAGGUACAUUCCCCGAAGUCGGGCAUAGCCAGCCGAAAGGUUGGGUAAUUCCCGAUAGUCCCGCAAGGGUAAAGGUUUUUCGCUUCGGGAGCGGCCUGCGUAAUAUCAGCUAGUUGGUGAGGUAAUGGCUCACCAAGGCUACGACGUUUAGGGGGGCUGAGAGGCCGAUCCCCACCGAUGGCACUGCGAUACGGGCCAUACCUCUACGGAGGGCUGCAGCCGAGAAUAUUCCGCAAUGGACGAAAGUCUGACGGAGCGACGCCGCGUGAUGGAUGAAGUGCUUCGGUACGUAAACAUCUUUUAUGUGGGACGAAAUUAUUGACGGUACCACAUGAAUAAGGGGCUCCUAACUCUGUGCCAGCAGGAGCGGUAAUACAGAGGCCCCGAGCGUUACCCGGAAUCACUGGGCGUAAAGGGUGUCGAGGCGGUCGUGUUAGUCGUUUGUAAAAUCCGCGAGCUUAACUUGCGGUCCGCAAGCGAAACGGCACGACUAGAGAGCGCGAGAGGUGCAUGGAACUCACGGUGGAGGGGUGAAAUCCGUUGAUAUCGUGGGGAACACCAAAGGCGAAGGCAGUGCACUGGCGCGUUUCUGACGCUCACACACGAAAGCCAGGGGAGCGAACGGGAUUAGAUACCCCGGUAGUCC